CCGGCGAUGUCCGAAUGGGGAAACCCAGUGCAAUUCGUUGCACUAUCGUUAACUGAAUACAUAGGUUAACGAGGCGAACCGGGGGAACUGAAACAUCUAAGUACCCCGAGGAAAAGAAAUCAACCGAGAUUCCCCCAGUAGCGGCGAGCGAACGGGGAGCAGCCCAGAGUCUGAAUCAGCUUGUGUGUUAGUGGAACGGUCUGGAAAGUCCGACGGUACAGGGUGAUAGUCCCGUACACCAAAAUGCACAGGCUGUGAACUCGAAGAGUAGGGCGGGACACGUGGUAUCCUGUCUGAAUAUGGGGGGACCAUCCUCCAAGGCUAAAUACUCCUGACUGACCGAUAGUGAACCAGUACCGUGAGGGAAAGGCGAAAAGAACCCCGGCGAGGGGAGUGAAAAAGAACCUGAAACCGUGUACGUACAAGCAGUGGGAGCACCUUCGGGUGUGACUGCGUACCUUUUGUAUAAUGGGUCAGCGACUUAUAUUCUGUAGCAAGGUUAACCGUAUAGGGGAGCCGCAGGGAAACCGAGUCUUAACUGGGCGUUAAGUUGCAGGGUAUAGACCCGAAACCCGGUGAUCUAGCCAUGGGCAGGUUGAAGGUUGGGUAACACUAACUGGAGGACCGAACCGACUAAUGUUGAAAAAUUAGCGGAUGACUUGUGGCUGGGGGUGAAAGGCCAAUCAAACCGGGAGAUAGCUGGUUCUCCCCGAAAGCUAUUUAGGUAGCGCCUCGUGAACUCAUCUUCGGGGGUAGAGCACUGUUUCGGCUAGGGGGUCAUCCCGACUUACCAACCCGAUGCAAACUACGAAUACCGAAGAAUGUUAUCACGGGAGACACACGGCGGGUGCUAACGUCCGUCGUGAAGAGGGAAACAACCCAGACCGCCAGCUAAGGUCCCAAAGUCAUGGUUAAGUGGGAAACGAUGUGGGAAGGCACAGACAGCCAGGAUGUUGGCUUAGAAGCAGCCAUCAUUUAAAGAAAGCGUAAUAGCUCACUGGUCGAGUCGGCCUGCGCGGAAGAUGUAACGGGGCUAAACCAUGCACCGAAGCUGCGGCAGCGACACUAUGUGUUGUUGGGUAGGGGAGCGUUCUGUAAGCCUGCGAAGGUGUGCUGUGAGGCAUGCUGGAGGUAUCAGAAGUGCGAAUGCUGACAUAAGUAACGAUAAAGCGGGUGAAAAGCCCGCUCGCCGGAAGACCAAGGGUUCCUGUCCAACGUUAAUCGGGGCAGGGUGAGUCGACCCCUAAGGCGAGGCCGAAAGGCGUAGUCGAUGGGAAACAGGUUAAUAUUCCUGUACUUGGUGUUACUGCGAAGGGGGGACGGAGAAGGCUAUGUUAGCCGGGCGACGGUUGUCCCGGUUUAAGCAUGUAGGCUGAUUGUCCAGGCAAAUCCGGAUAAUCAAGGCUGAGGUGUGAUGACGAGGCACUACGGUGCUGAAGUAACAAAUGCCCUGCUUCCAGGAAAAGCCUCUAAGCAUCAGGUAACAUUAAAUCGUACCCCAAACCGACACAGGUGGUCAGGUAGAGAAUACCAAGGCGCUUGAGAGAACUCGGGUGAAGGAACUAGGCAAAAUGGUGCCGUAACUUCGGGAGAAGGCACGCUGGUGUGUAGGUGAAGUCCCUGCGGAUGGAGCUGAGACCAGUCGAAGAUACCAGCUGGCUGCAACUGUUUAUUAAAAACACAGCACUGUGCAAACACGAAAGUGGACGUAUACGGUGUGACGCCUGCCCGGUGCCGGAAGGUUAAUUGAUGGGGUUAUCCGUAAGGAGAAGCUCUUGAUCGAAGCCCCGGUAAACGGCGGCCGUAACUAUAACGGUCCUAAGGUAGCGAAAUUCCUUGUCGGGUAAGUUCCGACCUGCACGAAUGGCGUAAUGAUGGCCAGGCUGUCUCCACCCGAGACUCAGUGAAAUUGAACUCGCUGUGAAGAUGCAGUGUACCCGCGGCAAGACGGAAAGACCCCGUGAACCUUUACUAUAGCUUGACACUGAACAUUGAGCCUUGAUGUGUAGGAUAGGUGGGAGGCUUUGAAGCGUGGACGCCAGUCUGCGUGGAGCCAACCUUGAAAUACCACCCUUUAAUGUUUGAUGUUCUAACGUUGGCCCCUUACCGGGGUUGCGGACAGUGUCUGGUGGGUAGUUUGACUGGGGCGGUCUCCUCCCAAAGCGUAACGGAGGAGCACGAAGGUUAGCUAAUCCUGGUCGGACAUCAGGAGGUUAGUGCAAUGGCAUAAGCUAGCUUGACUGCGAGCGUGACGGCGCGAGCAGGUGCGAAAGCAGGUCAUAGUGAUCCGGUGGUUCUGAAUGGAAGGGCCAUCGCUCAACGGAUAAAAGGUACUCCGGGGAUAACAGGCUGAUACCGCCCAAGAGUUCAUAUCGACGGCGGUGUUUGGCACCUCGAUGUCGGCUCAUCACAUCCUGGGGCUGAAGUAGGUCCCAAGGGUAUGGCUGUUCGCCAUUUAAAGUGGUACGCGAGCUGGGUUUAGAACGUCGUGAGACAGUUCGGUCCCUAUCUGCCGUGGGCGCUGGAGAAUUGAGGGGGGCUGCUCCUAGUACGAGAGGACCGGAGUGGACGCAUCACUGGUGUUCGGGUUGUCAUGCCAAUGGCACUGCCCGGUAGCUAAAUGCGGAAGAGAUAAGUGCUGAAAGCAUCUAAGCACGAAACUUGCCCCGAGAUGAGUUCUCCCUGAGACUUUAAGUCUCCUGAAGGAACGUUGAAGACGACGACGUUGAUAGGCCGGGUGUGUAAGCGCAGCGAUGCGUUGAGCUAACCGGUACUAAUGAACCGUGAGGCUUAACCUUACAACGCCGAAG
rnacentral:rRNA from 1 species